CAAACAGAAUUUGCAAGUGGUAUGGACACUGAAUUUUUUAUUUCGCUUCUUUAUUUAGCUGCAGUGAAAAAUUUCAGUGAUGAAAGUUUCUGCUCAAAGCGAAGCAAUGAUCACAGGCACACGAGGUCGUCAUGGAGUGUUUUGCCAUGGAUUGUGUUCAACGAUUCGCUACUGAACAAGUUCGAUGAUGUCAAACAAAUCUCCAACUGGUUCUUCAAAGGGCAUAUUUUGAGCGACUUUAUCGAGAUUUUAUGAGGAGACAGUUUGACCUGAUUUGGGACGCGAUCGACGAAGAGGAGUAGGUGCUCGACGAAUUGUGGCAUAUGCUGAGCCCGUUUCUGGACGAGGAUCUGCGGAUGCAGCAAUGGGAUAGCAUUUGAAUGAAUCAUUAUGUUAUUUUUAGGAAGGAAUUAUGAUGUUAUUUUAAUCGUACAGAUUUCUACUGCAAUGGUGAAAUAAAAAACACUCUA